UUGACAGUUCCUUCAAUCAACAUGGCAGCUUCUCCUUUCUCCUCUCUCUCCUAUGCGUCCUCGUGAUCUUAUCAUCACUUAUCUCUCUCCCCCUCAAUCUUAUCGCUUUCCUCUCUCUCUUCUUCUCGGAUGCUUCUCUUUCUCUCUUUCCCCUUCUCCAAUGCCUCUCUCAUUCUUUCCCUUUCUUUCCUUAUUUGCUUGACUGUUCUUGCUCUUCCCAAUUACCCUACAAUCCGAUCGGAUAGUCGUGAUUGGAUUAAUCAUCAUGAUGAGGUAUUUUUGCUACUGACUGUGCCCUAGCCCUGCCUAUGGGGGUAAUCCAGGUUAGAGGUGGGAUUGCUCUAACCUCUCUCUUCUCCUCUCGAUCUUAUCCGUGCUUCUCUCUUCCCUUCGAUGCCUCUCUUUCACCUGUCUUCUCUCUCCUCUUCCAAUGCCUAUCUCUAUUUGUUCUCUCGGUUGAUCUUCUUUCACUAAUUGCCCCACUGCUCUAUUCGAUGGCAACGAUGACAUGUGUCCACUUGCUAUUUGCCCUAAUAUUACCCUAUCUCAAGGGCAUUUAAAGAUUUUUUACAGAUUUCAUGGGGAAUGAGAAAGAUUUUUAUAGAUUGUGAUGGGAUGAUUUUCUAUGUUCCUCUUUCUUAUACUGUUAUUUACUUUGUGAAGAGAAAGAUCUUCAUAAUGAUUUUCAUGAGCCUACUUGCCAAUGAUAUGAUUGGCGACAAUCAUUAAGGCCUACUCGUAGCCAUGUUACUUUCUUCUUGCUCUCUUGCUUCUUCUCCUCUUUGCUUGCUAUAUGGCAGCCUAAGACUUACAAUCUCCAAUUGUUCCACAUAGCACAAUAUGUUCUUCUCUUAAAAGCAAAAGGUAUAUUUCUCAUUUCAUUAAUGCUAACUCUUCCACACAACCGACUGUCCCUAGCACAAGUGGCAAAGGGCUUGAUAGUUGGUACCUGAGGUCCCAAAUUCGAAUCCUAAUUGAUUCACAUUUCUAGCUAAGUUUAUUUCUAAAUGAAAUAAACGAAGCGGGUAGCAUGCUACCUAUCUCUCAAAAAAAAAAAAAAAAAACUCUUCCACACAACACAAUAUGGUCAUCUUUUGAAACCAAAAGAUAUCUAUAUUUCUCUCCUUUUUUGCCUACCCUCAUGGUAAUAUCUAUAUUUCUCUCCAUCUUUUUUGCCUACCCUCAAGGUAUGUUCUUCUUUUGUUUGUUUGUUUGUUUACCUUUGUUUACUUUUUCUAGAUAAAGUCAAUCUAAAUACUCAUUACAUUAAACUGCUGUUACUGUUUCUUAGGUACCUAUGUUUUUCCUCUUGGUGUCGACCUGUUUUGCUUUCGGCUAUUUACAGUAGGAUUUACUGUUGUCUUACAAUUUUUUAUGCCUCAUACAUUUUCUUUCCAUUGCUUAUUUUAUCCUCUCUUCUAAGCAGUGGUUUUUUCUUACCAUAUUUGCCCAAUAUGUUGGUAAUUUGGGGCAAAUCUUCAGUUUCUUCAUGAUGUUAUUUAUGUUUUGUGAUAUGUUACUCCAAUUUUAAAGAACUGAUAUUAUCUA